GACGAACGCUGGCGGCGUGCUUAACACAUGCAAGUUGAACGGAAAGGCCCUGCUUUUGUGGGGUGCUCGAGUGGCGAACGGGUGAGUAAAACGUGAGUAACCUGCCCUUGACUUUGGGAUAACUUCAGGAAACUGGGGCUAAUACCGGAUAGGAGCUCCUGCUGCAUGGUGGGGGUUGGAAAGUUUCGGCGGUUGGGGAUGGACUCGCGGCUUAUCAGCUUGUUGGUGGGGUAGGGGCUUACCAAGGCUUUGACGGGUAGCCGGCCUGAGAGGGUGACCGGCCACAUUGGGACUGAGAUACGGCCCAGACUCCUACGGGAGGCAGCAGUGGGGAAUAUUGCACAAUGGGCGGAAGCCUGAUGCAGCAACGCCGCGUGCGGGAUGACGGCCUUCGGGUUGUAAACCGCUUUCGCCUGUGACGAAGCGUGAGUGACGGUAAUGGGUAAAGAAGCACCGGCUAACUACGUG
rnacentral:rRNA from 1 species